rnacentral:lncRNA from 1 species
UCCUAUAUUAUUUGUGGUUAACGAAAAUAAGAGUUGGAGCUGGCAUGGGCGUGUAGAGAGAGUAUGAAUGGUCCCCAGCCGCAAAGCUUACUUUUUUUCUUUAGACUCCGACCGGUGUCCGUGGUUCGGCCGACACCCAUCUUCAUCUGUCCUUCUCUCUCUCAAUCUAUUCACGUUUCUUUUCUUUUUUUAUUCUCUUUUUGCCUUCUUAAUAAUUUAUAAAUACAUUGGAAUGCAAUUAUUAGUAAUGUGAUGGUAUGCCCACGAGAAUGCGCGCAGUCACGCACACGAGGACGCCACCAUAUCCUCUCAUAACUUUCCCGAUCAUGAUGAUCUUUCAGUCUCUCAUUUUACCUUAUUCACGUAAAAACACUUGUCGGAAGUAGAAACUGAUAGUUACUCGCCGAAUCUGUAUGAAAAUUUAGUUAAUCAAAAUGAAAUACAAUGUCGACGUAUAAACCUUAAUAUAUAAUAUAUCUUUC